rnacentral:rRNA from 1 species
UGUAAUAAGAGAAAGGUUUCCUGUUCCAUAGCCAGAAAUAUAUGUGGCCAUGAAAUGGGGAUUAAGUGGAACAGAAUUAAUUGGGUGGUAGAGUCGUGGAAACACCCGUUUCUUCCAUAUUUUGGACCUCAACUCAUAGAACAAUAUACUACUGCUGAAACAUGGGAGAAUUGAAAUCUUAGAUUAAAACAUUAUGGAUGGAUGGUAUGAACUGCCUAAACAAGAAUUCUUGAACAGCGAACAACCAGAGCUAUUACUCACUACAUCAAAAAAUUUCCAUUAAUGAAAGAUGUAAAUCCAUUGGAAAAUAAAAAAUACGCAUGUCAGAUGAAAUAGUUGUUGCUAUUUGCUACAAUAACGAACCAUUGGUUUAACUGAAUAACUAAAUAAAAUAGAUAGACAUUUAUCUUCGUCUCAUGUUGACGAAUCUUCUUAAUUGACCCCUACAUGGAUAAUACACAUUCUAGUAGACCGAUUAAUUCUAAUUGUUUCGAAGCAAUCCACAAAGCGGUUCAUCCUAUUGAGAUAUUCACGACCAAGAAGUACUGGAUUCUCUUUCGGAUAGGCCCUAAACUGAGAUGGAAGGUUGGAAGGCCAACAGGCAUCUAUUAUUGAAUUCACCCAACCAAAGAGUAUCCAUUUUGGGAACGUCCAGCACUAAAGUCACUGAAUGGGUAAGUCGCUAAUCCCUAAAAUGGACUAUGUAAUGUACUUUAUCUGCUGGGUUACGGGGGGGCAUUUUACCAGAGGUUUCUAUUGUAUCAAUCUACCCUUGUGUGAUUCCUGUUAAAGAAUAUACUCGGGUGGGGGGGGGGUGCUGGAUUCUAUUCUAUCAACCUACCCCUUGUGUGAUUCCUGUUGAAGCAUAUACUCAAGGGGUGGGGUGGGUGCAGGAUGGAUGAUUUCAAAAUGGACUCAUUCAAUGAAGAUUUAUUCACCAAAUUGAGGCAAACUUUGAAUACUAGAUAUGACCUCAAAUAACAGGGGUCAAGGUCGGCCAGCGAGACGAUGGGGGAUAAGCUUCAUCGUCGAGAGGGAAAUAGCCUAGAUCACCAACUAAGGCCCCUGAAUGACUGCUUAGUGAUAAAGGAGGUAGGGGUGCAAAGACAUCCAGGAGGUUUGCCUAGAACCAGCCUCCUUUGAAAGAGUGUAUAAUAGCUUACUGAUUGAGUGCUUUUGCACCGAAGAUGAACGGGGCUAAACAAUCUGUCGAAGCUAUGGAAUGUAAAAAUGCAUUGAUAGGGAAGUAUUCCCCUAGAGGGAAGCACCCGCGAUAGCUAUGGUAGACGAAGCAGAAGUGAGAAUGUCGGCUUGAGUAAUGCAAACAUUGGUGAGAAUCCAGUGCCCCAAAAACCUAAGGGUCCUCCGCAAGGUUCAUCCACGUAGGGUGAGUCAGGGCCUAAAAUUAGGCCAAAAGGCAUAGUUGAUGGAGAACAGGUGAAUAUUCCUGUACUACCCCUUGUUGGUCCCAAAGGAUGGAGGAGGCUAGGUUAGCCAAAGGAUGGUUAUUAGUUCAAGGACGCAAGGUGCCCCUGCUUUUUCAGGGUAAGAAGGUGUAAAGAAAAUGCCCCGAGCCAAUGUUCGUGUACCAGGCGCUACGGUGCUGAAGUAUCCCAUGCCAUACUCCCAGGAAAAGCUCGAAAAACCUUCAACAAAAGGGUACCGAUGCCCGAAACUGACACAUGUUGGUAGGUAGAGAAUACCUAAGGGCGUGAGACAACUCUCCCUAAGGAACUCAACAAAAUAGCCCCGUAACUUAGAAGGAAGGGGUGCUUCUCACAAAGAGGGUCACAGUAACCAGGCCCGGGCGAUUGUUUACCAAAACACAGGUCUUUACAAAGUCCUCAAACCAUGUAUGGGGGCUGACGCUUACCCAGCGCCUGAAGGUCAAGGAAGUUGGUGACUUAAUGAGAGGGAAGUCGGCAACCGAAGCCCUGGUGAAUGACGAUGGUAACUAUAACGGUAAUAAGGUAGAAAAAUUCCUUAUUGGGCAAGUUCCAACCCACACGAAAGGCGUAACGGUCUAGGCACUAUCUCGGAGAGACACUCAGUGAAAUAAAUAUGUUUGUGAAUAUGCGGACUACCUAUGCUUGGAUAGAAAGACCCUAUGAAGCUUCACUAUUCCCCGAGAUUGGCUUUAGGCUUUUCCUACGUAGCUUAGGUGGAAGGUGAAGAAGGCCUCCUUCUAGAGGGCCCGAGCCAUCAAUGAGAUACCACUCUGGAAGAGCUAGAAUUCUAACCUUGUGUCAGGAUAUACGGGCCAAGGGACAGUCUCACGUAGAUAGUUUCUAUCUGGCGUAGGCGUGCAAAGGUUUCCUCGGGCCAAACAGAGAUUGGCCCUCAAGUGGAAAGGCAGAAGGGAGCUUGACUACAAGACCCACCUAUCGAGCAGGGAAGAAAGUUGACCUUAGUGAUCUGACGAUGCUGAGUGGAAGGACCGUCGCUUAAUGGAUAAAAGUUACUCUAGGGAUAAUAGGCUGAUCUUCCCCAAUAGCUCACAACGAUGGGAAGGUUUGGCACCUCGAUGUCGACUCUUCGCCACCUAGGGUUUGUAGUAUGUUCAAAGGGUUGGGCUAUUCGCCCAUUAAAAUGGUACGUGAUCCGGGUUCAAAAUGUUGUGAGACAGUUCGGUCCAUAUCCGAUGUGGGUGUUAGAGCAUUGAGAGGAUCUUUUCCUAGUAUGAGAGGACCAGGAAGGACACGCCUCUGGUGUACCAGUUAUCAUGCCCACGGUAAACGCUGGAUAGCCAAGUAUGAAGCGGAUAACUGCUGAAAGCAUCUAAGUAGUAAGCCCACCCAAUAUGAAUGCUCUCCUAUUAUGACUUUCCCAGAGCUUACGGUAGCACAGCUAAGACAGCAACGGGUUUUCUGCCCUUUCGGGGGUAGAGUGAUAGAAAUUUUAAGAAUUCAAGAGAAGGUCAUGGCUAGAUGAGCCAUUUAUCAUUACAAUAGGUGUCAAGUGGAACUGCAGUGGUGUAUGCAGCUGAGGCAUCCUCACAGACCAGUAGACUUGAAU